rnacentral:rRNA from 1 species
AUGGAUGCCGAGCAAGAGGAGAAGGAUCACGAAGAGGUGGUUUUGGAGGAUCUUGCCGGUGAACGGCAGGAUACAACUGAGGUCGAAGAAGAAGAGGAUCAUGCUAGGGUGGAGAAGGAUGAGCAGAUGGUUAUGUCAGAAAUGGCCAAGAAUAGGCACUUGAAAAAGGAGCUUGAGAUCUUUGUGAGAGGGCUGGACAGGGAAGCUGUCAAGGAGGAUAUUAGAAAGGUGUUUGGACAGGUUGGUGAUGUUGUGGAGGUCCGUCUCCACAAGGAUUGCUCGAUGAACAAGAAUAAGGGAUUUGCAUGUGUGAAGUUUGCAAGCAAAGAGCAGGUAGCUCGAGCAAUUGCUGUGAUGAAUAACCCUGUGCUAAAUGGCAAACAAUGUUGUAUCGGUGCUAGAGAGGACAACGACACACUAUUCUUGGGAAAUAUUUGCAAUACAUGGACAGAGGAAGCUAUUAAGAAAAGGCUGAAUGAGUAUGGGAUACAAGGAGUUGAAAGCUUAACUCUGGUUCCUGAUACUCCAAAUGAGGGAAAGAACCGGGGCUUUGCAUUUCUUGAGUUUUCUUGCCACGGAGAUGUGAUGAUUGCAUUUGAAAGGCUGCAGGAACCUGAUGUUGUGUUUGGUCAUCCCGAGAGAACUGCAAAAGUUGCUUUUGCAGAGCCGAUAAAGGAAACAGAUGCAGAAGUUAUGUACAAGGCUAAGUCAGUUUCUAUUGAUGGACUCCCACCAUAUUGGGAUGAAGAUCGUGUUAAGGACCGAUUCAAAGCUUACGGUUUAUUACGUGUGGUGCUUGCUUGUGACAUGUCAAGUGUCAAAAGAAAUGGUUUUGGAUUUCUUUACUUCUCAACCCAUGAGGAAGCUCUUGCUUGUAUUGAAGCCAUCAACAACACCGAAUUGGGUGAUGAUGCAAAACUGAAGGAAAAGGUACGGGUUAGACUUUCAAAUCCAUUACGUAAAAGUAAAGCUGUGAAAGGAGGAAUGAGUGGCGGCUUUCGGAUUGGACAUUCUGGACCUGGUUUUAACAUGCCUGAUAGAAGUUAUAUUAGGGGAGAAUCAGUCCCUUGCCGGGCAGGUUUCCAUGGUGGUAGGGAUUUCAAUAAUCAUGCCCCUAGUUGCGGUGGAAGAUAUAAUUCUGCAUCCAAUAAUGAUCCUUCUGGAGCUCCACCCUCUGACUUCAGAGCAUGUGAGACUCUUGUGUUUCGAGAUAGACUGCCUAUUGUGGUA